CCUACGGGUGGGCAGCAGUGAGGAAUAUUGGUCAAGGGACGCAAGUCUGAACCAGCCAUGCCGCGUGCAGGAAGACGGCUCUAUGAGUUGUAAACUGCUUUUGUACGAGGAUAAAUCCCGAUACGUGUAUCGGGUUGCAAGUAUCGUACGAAUAAGGAUCGGCUAACUCCGUUCCAGCAGCCGCGGUAAUACGGAGGAUUCAAGCGUUAUCCGGAUUUAUUGGGUUUAAAGGGUGCGUAGGCGGUCGGAUAAGUUAGAGGUGAAAUCCCGAGGAGCAACUUCGGAAUUGCCUCUGAUACUGGUCGGCUAGAGAGUAGGUGCGGUAGGCGGAAUGUAUGGUGUAGCGGUGAAAUGCUUAGAGAUCAUACAGAACACCGAUUGCGAAGGCAGCUUACCAAGCUACUUCUGACGUUGAGGCACGAAAGCGUGGGGAGCAAACAGGAUUAGAUACCCUAGUAGUC
rnacentral:rRNA from 1 species